rnacentral:lncRNA from 12 species
CCGCCCCCCCGCCAGGUGCCUGCGGAGUAGGGGCCGAAGAAGGAAGAAGGGGUGGGUGUCCGCACACUAGGCCAUUGAGGAGACAGACGCUGGGCCUGACGCGGCCUGCACCGCUGGAAUCAUCUACCAAGCAGAGCUCCCACCCCACUGGUCAGCUGCCUUAUUCUUCCAAUGGCAUGAUGUUGAGGAGGCCCUGCCUGCCCCGCCUGCUGCUGCAUUUCCUGGUCCUGCUGUGUCAGUCAGACAGGACUUUUGCACCGGAUGGCCUGCACCCUCGCUGGCCCUGCUGCAUGGAAGGGACAAAAUCUGAUGCAGAUAUCGUGACAAAGUGUUUUUUUUUUCAUCAUGGUCAAAUACACCAGGCAUAGAAUUGACCAUUUUAACCAAUUUUAAGUGUAUGCUUCAGCGGCAUGAAGUACAUCCACAGUAUAAUGCUUGACAUAACCUUUUGGCACAGGAGACAUUUUGAGAAUUCCAUGGAGCAGAGUGUGGAGCGAUCUGGGAAGUGGCUGAGCUUUCUCUCUGGAGCAAAACAUGAAGAUGAAGUGGAAGAAAAAAUGUGGCAGAGAAGGAAAAGUAAUCUCUACACCCAGCUUGGGGCUUGAACUCACCACCCUGAGAUCAAGAGUCACAUGGUCUUCUGACUGAGCCAGCCAGGUGCCUCUGGUUUUGUGUUUUAGAGUGAAUCUCCCAGAAUCGGUGAGCAAAAUCCCUAACUGCCAAUUUGGUCCAGAAAAAACAGUAUAAAAUGUGCUAACUGCCAUUGUCAUUCACAUCUGGCUGACAGGUGGAUUUUACUAACAAUGCACCUUCAUGGUAGCUUUCUAUUUCAGUUAUUCUUACUAAAUAUAUGUUCUGUUCUGUUGUUUCCCUGCUGCUGAAGCAGUGUGUGUAAUGUCAAGAAGCAUAAGGACAAGUAUUUUAGUCACACAAUUGAAGAGACCAUUAUUUAAAGAUUUCAUCUUCUAAUUCUGGUUGCUCAGACGAUGAUGCCUAUAGCCACUCUUCUUGUAUGACUUCCUUUCCUGAUACUCAGUUUCUUGCUCUGCAUAUUGGAG